rfam:Serratia fonticola strain DSM 4576, complete genome.
UAGGACGAUCCACUGAUGCAUGACGUUGUACUCAUAAUAUAGUGUCGAGAUAACCUUGAAAAUUUGAGGGAUGACCUCAUUUAAUCUCCAGUAGCAAUUUUGACCUACAUUGGAGGUGUUAUGCGUCUGGAUCGUCUUAC